AGGAGCACGUGAGCAACCUGCCCUGGAGAUGUGGAAAACCUCUGGAAACGGAGGCUAAUACAGAAUGUGGCGCCCCAUGGCAUCAUGGGAGCGCCGAAGGGGGCCGCAAGGCUCCCGCUCCGGGAUGGGCUCGCGCACCAUCAGCUAGUUGGCGGGGUAACGGCCCACCAAGGCCUACGGUUAGCUGGUCUGAGAGGAUGACCCAGCCCCACUGGGACUGAGAUACUGCCCAGACUCCUACGGGAGGCUGCAGUCGAGGAUCAUUCGCAAUGGACGGAAGUCUGACGAUGCGACGCUGCGUGGGAAGGAUGAAGGCCUUCGGGUCGUAAACUCCUGUCAUGAGGGAAGAGGCGAGGGAAGCUAAUACCUUCUUUAGUUGACUGUACCUCAAGAGGAAGCGACGGCUAACUCUGUGCCAGCCGCCGC
rnacentral:rRNA from 1 species